rnacentral:tRNA from 1 species
UGCCGGAUCGCCUAACCGGGAGGGCACCAGAUUUUGACUCUGGUAUGUGCAGGUUCGAAUCCUGCUCCGGCAA